AAGAAGAUAAACCUGGGUUUCCAUGCCCAAUGUUUGACCGUCUGUCUUAUUUGAAAAAAUUAUAAAAAAAUUAAAAAAACAAGUCAUGCAUAAAGUAUUAAUCAUGUUUUAUCAUCUAACACCAAUAAAAAUACGAAUUAUAAAAAAAUUUCAUAUAAGACGGACAGUCAAAGUUGGACACGCAAAUCCAGAGUUUGCCUUUUU
rfam:Oryza sativa Japonica Group DNA, chromosome 3, cultivar: Nipponbare, complete sequence.